ensembl:snRNA U6 U6 spliceosomal RNA
GUGGUUGUUUUGGCAGCACAUUUACUAAAAUUGGAUAUGGCACAGAGGAGAUUAGCAUGGCCCCUGUGCAAGGAUGACAUGCAAAUUUGUGAAAUGUUCCACAUUUUU